rnacentral:rRNA from 1 species
CUUCUUUGUUGGUUUGAGGGACUGAAGUAAUGAUUAAUAGGGAUAGUUGGGGGCAUUAGUAUUUAAUUGUCAGAGGUGAAAUUCUUGGGUUUAUUGAAGACUAACUACUGCGAAAGCAUUUGCCAAGGAUGUUUUCAUUAAUCAGGAACGAAAGUUAGGGGAUCGAAGACGAUCAGAUACCGUCGUAGUCUUAACCAUAAACUAUGCCGACUAGGGAUCGGACGAUGUUAUUUUUUGACUCGUUCGGCACCUUACGGGAAAC